AGAAUCAACGCUGGCGGCGUGCCUAACACAUGCAAGUCGAACGAGAAAGUGGAGCAAUCCAUGAGUAAAGUGGCGCACGGGUGAGUAACACGUGACUAACCUACCCUUGAGUGGGGGAUAACCUCGGGAAACCGGGGCUAAUACCGCAUAACAUCGAGAGAUCAAAGGAGCAAUUCGCUUAAGGAGGGGGUCGCGGCUGAUUAGCUAGUUGGUGAGGUAAUGGCUCACCAAGGCUAUGAUCAGUAUCCGGCCUGAGAGGGCGCACGGACACACUGGAACUGAAACACGGUCCAGACUCCUACGGGAGGCAGCAGUGGGGAAUUUUGCGCAAUGGGGGAAACCCUGACGCAGCAACGCCGCGUGGAGGAUGAAGUCCCUUGGGACGUAAACUCCUUUCGAUCGGGACGAUAAUGACGGUACCGGAAGAAGAAGCCCCGGCUAACUUCGCGCCAGCAGCCGC
rnacentral:rRNA from 1 species